CAGUAGCCGCGGUAAUACAGAGGGUGCGAGCGUUAAUCGGAUUUACUGGGCGUAAAGCGUGCGUAGGCGGCUUUUUAAGUUGGAUGUGAAAUCCCUGAGCUUAACUUAGGAAUUGCAUUCGAUACUGGGAAGCUAGAGUAUGGGAGAGGAUGGUAGAAUUCCAGGUGUAGCGGUGAAAUGCGUAGAGAUCUGGAGGAAUACCGAUGGCGAAGGCAGCCAUCUGGCCUAAUACUGACGCUGAGGUACGAAAGCAUGGGGAGCAAACAGGAUUAGAUACCCGUGUAGUCCCUGUCUCUUAUAC
rnacentral:rRNA from 1 species